rnacentral:rRNA from 1 species
GACGAACGCUGGCGGCGUGCUUAACACAUGCAAGUCGAACGCUGAAGCUCAGCUUUUGUUGGGUGGAUGAGUGGCGAACGGGUGAGUAACACGUGAGUAACCUGCCCCCUUCUUUGGGAUAACGCCCGGAAACGGGUGCUAAUACUGGAUAUUCACUGGUCUUCGCAUGGGGGUUGGUGGAAAGGGUUUUUCUGGUGGUGGAUGGGCUCGCGGCCUAUCAGCUUGUUGGUGGGGUGAUGGCCUACCAAGGCUUUGACGGGUAGCCGGCCUGAGAGGGUGACCGGUCACAUUGGGACUGAGAUACGGCCCAGACUCCGACGGGAGGCAGCAGUGGGGAAUAUUGCACAAUGGGCGCAAGCCUGAUGCAGCGACGCCGCGUGAGGGAUGGAGGCCGUCGGGUUGUGAACCUCUUUCGCUAAUGGUCAAGCCGCAACAAUGGUUGUGGUGAGGGUAGUGGGUAAAGAAGCGCCGGCUAACUACGUG